AUUGAAAAUUUUGCACUACAGAGCACUUUUUGUAAACUCAAUAACGCAUAGACACACUUUGUGCUAUGGACACACUUUUUAUGUGUGUAUUGACUAAAAUAACCUUUAACUAGAACUUCCCUUCUAACUACAAUAUUAUUCCUUUUAUCUUUAAUAUUUCACAUUAAAAAAUAAUGAGUGAGGAGGAUUCAUAUUAGGAUUUGGGAUUGGGGUUGGUGAAUCAAUGAUAACGAAUCUGGUUAUCUUCUUUCUCUUUCUUGCUUGGUAUCUCUCCUUUGAUUCAUCUCUGAUUUUCAUAUCUAUUGCCUAAUAGAAAAUGAGUGAGGAGGAUUCAUAUUAGGAUUUGGGAUUGGGGUUGGUGAAUCAAUGAUAACGAAUCUGGUUUCCAAUUUAUCACUCACCACCACGGCACCACCGCAUCUCUGUGACCUCCGUCACCGCCUCUUAAACUCUAGAUCGAGAACAAUCGCUGUUCGACUGCGAUAGUGUCGACGUCUUCGCUGGUACUCUCUCCGAUUGGGCCGCUCUUCGCCGUCGGCUCUCUCCAUAACCUUGUCGGCUAUGGCUAGGUUGGGUAAUCGUCACCGGACGAGCCCCCAUUUUUCUCUAUUGGCUAGGCUUGUUUCAUGAAUGAUGUGUUGCAAACAAGGUUCGUUCGUUUGUUCACAAAUGUGUGGACAUGUUUUAGUGGAUAUGUUGCUUAAGAAGAAUUAUGUUCAGAUUCUUUCAUCACUUUUCUUUCCUCGUUUUCUCUCAGUACUCCAUCGACUCGUGACGAUGUCCAACUCUUAAUAAACCUCAUAUCAUCAUUCACCGAUUUCAAAUCUUGUCAUCUUUUAUUCUUGGAAGCUAUAUUUGAUGCUUGUU